AGUCAUGGUGUUAAAUAAACUCUGGCUAAAAACCAGCAGCCUGCCUAGUGCCUACCUGUGAAAUUAUGUGAUCAGCAUGAGCGAUAUGACAAGUUCAUACUGGAAAAAACUUGAAACCAAAUGCAGGAAGAAUAGAACUUACAGUAAUUGAGAUCUUUCCCUCGAAUUGGCGACUGGGAGGGUUUUACCAACAGAUGCAAAAGCUGCCAAUGAUAGUUGAGAGAUCGAGCUGCGAGGAAAUCCUUGUGGACUACUUGUCGUGUAGUCACCCUCAAUCACGGAGAUCGUGAAUUUAAUCCUCGAUCCCUUGUUCUAACUAUACGAAAUAAAAGACGUCCACAAAACGAACGAUCUCCAGUUUAUCACCGGCCAAUUGCCACAUAGACAUAUCCUGUACGAAAACCGUUAAUGAGCUUGAACCAGUGAUGUCUAUGUAGUGUAACUGGCAAUUUAUACCCACUGAUAUGCCAGUGUAACUAAUUUAAGCUCCCGAAAUCAACUCCAAGCAUUUGCAAGUCAGCAUGUC
rnacentral:lncRNA from 1 species